rnacentral:lncRNA from 1 species
UUAUUUUUAUUUUUUUUGUUAUUUUUAUGUCAAAAUGAGAUAUAACGACCCAGCCCACUAGCAAUAAUAAUUCGUUGGGCUCGGCCAACAGCCCAAAAUGCUUAAGCCCAGUUAUUAUUAUUAGUGUCUAAGUCCAUUUCCAUCCAAUGUGGGGUUAUUAGGGUGUCACAGACUCCCCCCGUUAGGGCUCUGACGUACUCGUCAGUCCAAUCACACACACAGCCCAAGAUCACCAGGCGAUGUGAGACUCGUCUCGCUAGCCCGUCAUCUAGACUCUAGCUCAGCCGAGACUAGCCACACAUGUCCAGUUGGUGAACGAUCUCUGAUACCAAAUAUAACGACCCAGCCCACUAGCAAUAAUAACUCGUUGGGCGCAGCCAACAACCCAAAAUGUUUAAGCCCAGUUAUUAUUACUAGUGUCUAAGUCUCUUAUAAACCCAAUGACAACCUCAUUCCUAUUCGAUGUGGGGUUAUUAGGCUGUCACAUGAGAUGAAUAUAUGUUCUG